AAGAUUUCUUCGGAAUGAAUUUGAUUUAGUUUAGUGGCGGACGGGUGAGUAACGCGUGAGUAACCUGCCUUCAAGAGGGGGAUAACAUUCUGAAAAGAAUGCUAAUACCGCAUGAUAUAUCGGAACCACAUGGUUUUGAUAUCAAAGAUUUUAUCGCUUGAAGAUGGACUCGCGUCCGAUUAGUUAGUUGGUGAGGUAACGGCUCACCAAGACCGCGAUCGGUAGCCGGACUGAGAGGUUGAACGGCCACAUUGGGACUGAGACACGGCCCAGACUCCUACGGGAGGCAGCAGUGGGGGAUAUUGCGCAAUGGGGGCAACCCUGACGCAGCAACGCCGCGUGAAGGAUGAAGGUUUUCGGAUUGUAAACUUCUUUUAUUAAGGACGAAAAUUGACGGUACUUAAUGAAUAAGCUCCGGCUAACUACGUGCCAGCAGCCGCGGUAAUACGUAGGGAGCAAGCGUUGUCCGGAUUUACUGGGUGUAAAGGGUGCGUAGGCGGCUUUGCAAGUCAGAUGUGAAAUCUAUGGGCUCAACCCAUAAACUGCAUUUGAAACUGUAGAGCUUGAGUGAAGUAGAGGCAGGCGGAAUUCCCCGUGUAGCGGUGAAAUGCGUAGAGAUGGGGAGGAACACCAGUGGCGAAGGCGGCCUGCUGGGCUUUAACUGACGCUGA
rnacentral:rRNA from 1 species